GAUGAACGCUAGCGGCAGGCCUAAUACAUGCAAGUCGGACGGGAUUCAGGAGCUUACUUCUGAUGAGAGUGGCGCACGGGUGCGUAACACGUAUGUAACCUACCUUUAUCAGGGGGAUAGCCUCUCGAAAGAGAGAUUAAGCCCGCAUAAAAUCACAGCACAGCAUUGUGUAAUGAUCAAAUAUUUAUAGGAUAAAGAUGGGCAUGCGGAACAUUAGCUAGAUGGCGGGGUAACGGCCCACCAUGGCGACGAUGUUUAGGGGAUCUGAGAGGAUGGCCCCCCACACUGGUACUGAGACACGGACCAGACUCCUACGGGAGGCAGCAGUAAGGAAUAUUGGUCAAUGGGCGGAAGCCUGAACCAGCCAUGCCGCGUGCAGGAAGACGGCCCUACGGGUUGUAAACUGCUUUUAUACGGGAAUAAACCCAGAUACGUGUAUCUGGCUGAAUGUACUGUAAGAAUAAGGAGCGGCUAACCCCGUG
rnacentral:rRNA from 1 species